rnacentral:rRNA from 1 species
GACGAACCGUGCGAACGUUGUUCGGAUUCACUGGGCUUAAAGGGCGCGUAGGCGGUCGACCAAGUCUGGGGUGAAAUCUUUCGGCUUAACCGGAAAAGUGCCCCCGAUACUGGCCGGCUAGAGGGAGAUAGGGGCAUGUGGAACUUCCGGUGGAGCGGUGAAAUGCGUAGAUAUCGGAAGGAACGCCGGUGGCGAAAGCGACGUGCUGGAUCUCUUCUGACGCUGAGGCGCGAAAGCCAGGGGAGCAAACGGG